AUGACAAGCACUUUGAAAAGAGGGUGAAAAGAGCCUGAAACCGUCACGGGGGAAGCGGAUCGCGUUGGAUUGAUGGGCGCUUGCGUGUUCAGCCCUUUGGGUGCAUUGGCGCAAGUUGCUUAUCCGCUGUGAGUUUUCGGGGGUCGAUUUUGGACCCCUGGGGACUGAGGGCUCCCUUUUACAGGUGAGGACAGCGGAGUGACGACGCGAUACGACCCGUCUUGAAACACGGACCAAGGAGUCUAGCGCGGGUGCGAGUCGGAGGGUGCAAGCCCGUGGGCGAAGUGAAAGCGAGUGUAAAAACGAGCAGUUUGGGGCGGCAUAAGAUCGUUGAUCUUAAGACCGACCCAGAGCAGUUGCGCUGGGACCCGAAAGAUGGUGAACUAUGCCGGAGUAGGGCAAAGCCAGAGGAAACUCUGGUGGAGGCUCGUAGCGGUGCUGACGUGCAAAUCGCUCGUCGAACUUGGGUAUAGGGGCGAAAGACUAAUCGAACCAUCUAGUAGCUGGUUCCCUCCGAAGUUUCUCUCAGGAUAGCGGGCCGACAAGUUGUUUUGUGC
rnacentral:rRNA from 1 species